CGCUGCCGAGGCCGGGCCCGGCGCUGUCGCCGCGGCCGCCGCCGGUGGUCGUCCUCCGUCUGCUGCAACGCCUGGAGUCAACACAGCCCUCUCCUUCUCUCGCUGCGUCCGGGUGAACCUGAGAGCGGGUGGCGACAGUGUUUUAGUUACAUGUCCACCAUCGAGAGCAUGUAGUUCAAGCGUGUCACUGUCCAAAGCAUCCAACGCACCACAGCGAGAGGGUCCUACUGUUCAGCUCCUGCUCCUCCCCCGGUGAGGGCUGUCCGCCAGCCCUCAGCCAACCGGGUCUGUGAGGAGGACGAAGACAACACAAACAAACACACCGUGAGGAGGACGAAGACAACACAGACAAACACACCGUGAGGAGGAUGAAGACAACACAGACAAACACCCCGUGAGGAGGCCGAGCGCUGCUGCGUACGCAGUCCGACGGUCGUCUCCACCGAGUCGUGUGUCUGUGAGUACGACGGGCGCGUGUCUGUACCUCAGCCCGAGCAGGAGCGGGCGUUGCCGGCUGCUCCACGUCGCCCUUCGUCGUCGUCGUCUUCCUCCUCUUCUUCUCGGGCUCCGGCGCCAGGGUGGCCUCCCCGCAUGGCGUCUCCUCCACGGAGACGCCACGAGGCUCCACCCUGGUCUGCGCCGGAGCCCGAGCAGGAAGUCCGACCGUCGGCGGAGCAGCCGCAACCUGUGGUGGUGGUGGUGGUGGUGGUGGGGGAGGGGUGGAGGACGGUGCCGGAGGAGGCGGAGACGGAGGCGUCUCCAGCGGGAGCGGGAGGGCCUGAAGGACCUGUACGCCAGCUUCAGACACGGUCACGCACAACCAAAUGGCAUCAGCACAAUGAGAGUGACGGGGCAACACACAGGCAGGCGAGACUAAGUGAGUCUGAGCAUUCAUGACGUGCAGCAUGCCGUUGAUUAGAUAAAAUGGUUUAGUGCUACAAGGCGACUGUUAAGAGGUGUGCUACAAGGCGACCGUUAAGAGGUGUGCUACAAGGCGAAUGUUAGUUACAAGGCGAGGUUUGCUAGACUGGGAGUUUAAUCAAAUCCACAUUACCACUACGUGAGUGAGGACGGCGCGUCUACCACCAACAAAGACGGCUACAUCACCUGAUAAACCUACCUUUGUCCUUCAGGCAUCAGCUUUAGCGACCGGCAAAUGAAAAAGUUACAGUUAAUGCAAACACACUGACUCAAGAAUAGAUAUCAGUUGUGGUGUGUAUGUAUGCAUGUGGUGCCAGCUACCCAUUUCCACGUCAGUGACCGUCUGGACCAGCUCCUCGUCCAUCACCUCUGUGGUGGGGGGCGGCGGAACCGAGGGGCGCUGGUCUCUGACGGAAGACACCGCU
ensembl:lncRNA